CGACGUGGAUAACCUGCCUCACACGGGGGGAUAACAGUUAGAAAUGACUGCUAAUACCGCAUAAGCGCACGGCAUCGCAUGAUGCAGUGUGAAAAACUCCGGUGGUGUGAGAUGGAUCCGCGUCUGAUUAGGUAGUUGGUGGGGUAACGGCCCACCAAGCCGACGAUCAGUAGCCGACCUGAGAGGGUGACCAGCCACAUUGGGACUGAGACACGGCCCAA
rnacentral:rRNA from 1 species